AGUUUGAUCCUGGCUCAGGAUGAACGCUGGCGGCGUGCUUAACACAUGCAAGUCGAACGAUGAUCCCUAGCUUGCUGGGGGGAUUAGUGGCGAACGGGUGAGUAACACGUGAGUAACCUGCCCUUGACUCUGGGAUAAGCCUGGGAAACUGGGUCUAAUACCGGAUACGACCAUCUGACGCAUGUCAUGGUGGUGGAAAGCUUUUGCGGUUUUGGAUGGACUCGCGGCCUAUCAGCUUGUUGGUGGGGUAAUGGCCUACCAAGGCGACGACGGGUAGCCGGCCUGAGAGGGUGACCGGCCACACUGGGACUGAGACACGGCCCAGACUCCUACGGGAGGCAGCAGUGGGGAAUAUUGCACAAUGGGCGGAAGCCUGAUGCAGCGACGCCGCGUGAGGGAUGACGGCCUUCGGGUUGUAAACCUCUUUCAGUAGGGAAGAAGCGAAAGUGACGGUACCUGCAGAAGAAGCGCCGGCUAACUACGUGCCAGCAGCCGCGGUAAUACGUAGGGCGCAAGCGUUAUCCGGAAUUAUUGGGCGUAAAGAGCUCGUAGGCGGUUUGUCGCGUCUGCUGUGAAAGACCGGGGCUCAACUCCGGUUCUGCAGUGGGUACGGGCAGACUAGAGUGAUGUAGGGGAGACUGGAAUUCCUGGUGUAGCGGUGAAAUGCGCAGAUAUCAGGAGGAACACCGAUGGCGAAGGCAGGUCUCUGGGCAUUAACUGACGCUGAGGAGCGAAAGCAUGGGGAGCGAACAGGAUUAGAUACCCUGGUAGUCCAUGCCGUAAACGUUGGGCACUAGGUGUGGGGGACAUUCCACGUUUUCCGCGCCGUAGCUAACGCAUUAAGUGCCCCGCCUGGGGAGUACGGCCGCAAGGCUAAAACUCAAAGGAAUUGACGG
rnacentral:rRNA from 1 species